GGUGCGCAGCUAAACUUGUUACGAAUGGUGCGAAACAAAAAAUAUGAAAUGAAUAUUAUGAAAGUGUCUACACUAGAUCAAAUUAAAAAAUAUUAUUUAUUGUAUUAUUUUUUCUCUGCCCUCCUCGUCGCUUUGCUCCCUUCGCUCACAACCACCACCAUUCAACCUCUUCUCCCUCUCCCUUCCAAUUCCAAAGUUCAUCUCUCUAUGGUGCUCUCUCUCCGACUAUACCUCCAUCGUCGCUACCAUUGAUGCUCGAGAAAAAAAAAAACAUCACAAAGGUGCUCGGGGAUGCCGAGAGACGAACCAAACAAUCAGAUAUGAGAUCCAAAAACAUAUCUGAAAUCCAAAACAAAGAGAAAUAACCAAAUUGAUUUGAAGCCCAUGAUGGUCGUCAUCUGGUGGCCAUCGACGGCGACUCCGUGAGCGGGAAAAAUGAGGUUGUGCCUCAACGGUGAUGAAGCCUUGAUUUGGUGCUUUUUUUUUUAGUUGAUCGGUGAUUGAAUUGAAG
rnacentral:lncRNA from 1 species